UCGAGGGGCAUCGGGGAGCGAAGCUUGCUUUGCUCCGCCGGCGACCGGCGCACGGGUGAGUAACGCGUAUGCAACCUGCCCGUUUCAGCGGGAUAACCCGGAGAAAUCCGGCCUAAUACCGCAUGUGGCCGAGGGAAGGCAUCUUCUUUCGGCCAAAGGAGGCGACUCCGGAGACGGAUGGGCAUGCGUGACAUUAGCUUGUUGGCGGGGUAACGGCCCACCAAGGCGACGAUGUCUAGGGGUUCUGAGAGGAAGGUCCCCCACGCUGGUACUGAGACACGGACCAGACUCAUACGGGAGGCAGCAGUGAGGAAUAUUGGUCAAUGGGCGAGAGCCUGAACCAGCCAAGUCGCGUGAAGGAUGACGGCCCUACGGGUUGUAAACUUCUUUUGUCAGGGAGCAAUUGGGUCCACGCGUGGGCUUAGCGAGAGUACCUGAAGAAAAAGCAUCGGCUAACUCCGUGCCAGCAGCCGCGGUAAUACGGAGGAUGCGAGCGUUAUCCGGAUUUAUUGGGUUUAAAGGGUGCGUAGGCGGGUUAUCAAGUCAGCGGUAAAAUCGUGGAGCUCAACUCCAUCCAGCCGUUGAAACUGAUGAUCUUGAGUGGGCGAGAAGUAUGCGGAAUGCGUGGUGUAGCGGUGAAAUGCAUAGAUAUCACGCACAACUCCGAUUGCGAAGGCAGCAUACCGGCGCCCGACUGACGCUGAAGCACGAAAGCGUGAGUAUCGAACAGGAUUAGAUACCCUGGUACUCCACGCAGUAAACGAUGAAUACUAGUUGUGUGCUCCGAAUGAUGAGUGCGUGAUAC
rnacentral:rRNA from 1 species